AUCUCAGACAAAGUUCCUGAAGAAGUGU
rnacentral:piRNA from 1 species